GCGCCCGUAGCUCAGGGGAUAGAGCAUCGGUCUUCGGAACCGAGGGUCGGGGGUUCAAAUCCCUCCGGGCGUA
rnacentral:tRNA from 1 species